CCUACGGGAGGCAGCAGUGAGGAAUAUUGGUCAAUGGACGAGAGUCUGAACCAGCCAAGUAGCGUGCAGGAUGACUGCCCUAUGGGUUGUAAACUUCUUUUAUACAGGAAUAAAACGAGGCACGUGUGCCUUUUUGCAUGUACUUUAUGAAUAAGGAUCGGCUAACUCCGUGCCAGCAGCCGCGGUAAUACGGAGGAUCCGAGCGUUAUCCGGAUUUAUUGGGUUUAAAGGGAGCGUAGAUGGGUUGUUAAGUCAGUUGUGAAAGUUUGCGGCUCAACCGUAAAAUUGCAAUUGAUACUGGUAGUCUUGAGUACAGUUGAGGUAGGCGGAAUGCGUGGUGUAGCGGUGAAAUGCUUAGAUAUCACGAAGAACCCCGAUUGCGAAGGCAGCUUACUAAACUGUGACUGACAUUGAUGCUCGAAAGUGUGGGUAUCAAACAGGAUUAGAUACCCGAGUAGUC
rnacentral:rRNA from 1 species